rnacentral:rRNA from 1 species
AACGAACGCUGGCGGCAUGCCUAACACAUGCAAGUCGAACGAGACCUUCGGGUCUAGUGGCGCACGGGUGCGUAACGCGUGGGAACCUGCCCGUAGGUUCGGAAUAACUCCCCGAAAGGUGUCCUAAUACCGGUUAAGCUCUUCGGACCAAAGAUUUAUCGCCGUUGGAUGGGCCCGCGUUGGAUUCGCUGGUUGGUAGUGUAAAAGCCUACCAAGGCGACGAUCCAUAGCUGGUCGGAGAGGAUGAUCAGCCACGCUGGGACUGAGACACGGCCCAGACUCCUACGGGGAGCAGCAGUGGGGAAUAUUGGACAAGGGGCGAAAGCCUGAUACAGCCAUGCGGCGUGAGUGAUGAAGGCCUUAGGGUUGCAAAGCUCUUUUACCCGGGAUGAUAAUGACAGUACCGGGAGAAUAAGCUCCGGCUAACUCCGUG